ACAGGAUGUUGUCUUUCUGAUGAAGAAUAGUAUUUUGUGAUUCAUCAUAGCUCUGAUUGAUGCUAUGAAAAAACAGGAAGAAGAACAAGAAAUGGAAUUAAAAAUACAAGAAAAGGAACUGAAUGAAAAGCGGGUGGAAUUGAAUGAGUUAAGGAAAAAAGAGUCCCAGAUGCAAAAGCAAGCUAAAUUCAAGUAAAACUCAACUUGAUGCAUUGACCUCUUCCUUGCAAAGUAGCAAGA